rnacentral:rRNA from 1 species
AUUGAACGCUGGCGGCAUGCUCUACACAUGCAAGUCGAACGGCAGCGCGGGCUUCGGCCUGGCGGCGAGUGGCGAACGGGUGAGUAAUGCAUCGGAACGUGCCCAGUAGUGGGGGAUAGCCCGGCGAAAGCCGGAUUAAUACCGCAUACGACCUGAGGGUGAAAGCGGGGGACCGAAAGGCCUCGCGCUAUUGGAGCGGCCGAUGUCGGAUUAGCUAGUUGGUGGGGUAAAGGCUUACCAAGGCGACGAUCCGUAGCUGGUCUGAGAGGACGACCAGCCACACUGGGACUGAGACACGGCCCAGACUCCUACGGGAGGCAGCAGUGGGGAAUUUUGGACAAUGGGGGCAACCCUGAUCCAGCCAUGCCGCGUGCGGGAAGAAGGCCUUCGGGUUGUAAACCGCUUUUGUUCGGGAAGAAAUCCUCUGGGCUAAUACCCCGGGGGGAUGACGGUACCGGAAGAAUAAGCACCGGCUAACUACGUG